rnacentral:lncRNA from 1 species
CACCACCACCAUCACCACUACCAUCACCACUACCAUCACCACCAUCACCACUACCACCACCAUCACCACUACCAUCACCACUACCAUCACCACUACCAUCACCACCACCACCAUCAUCACCGCUACCACCACCAUCACCACUACCACCACCAUCACCACUACCAACACCAUCACCACCAUCAGUCAUCAUCACCUUGACCAUAUUAUCUAUAUCAUUCACAGGUUGUACAGUCAGCCAAUUCCCACAAAAUGUGACUGAAGCACGGACGACUUUCCUUAUUAACCUUGCUGGAGCACACUGCUUACGAGAAGAAUUUGAUAAAGCGAAAAAAUGCCUUUAUCAGGUGCGUUUUAAAGAGCACAUACUUUUGUAUACCUUGUUACCAAUUUUUCAUUUGAGUUAUUGUCUGCACCAUUAACGCAAGAUUCUAAUGUUUUUCUUAUCCUGUUGUUUCCUAUGUUCAAUAAUUUACUUUAGGCUACAUCAUUGGUACAGUUAAAAGAUCUCCCAGAUCAAGCAGUUAUUCUCGCUAUAUACAUUGAACUUCAAAUUGGUA